CCUACGGGCUGCAGCAGUGGGGAAUAUUGGACAAUGGGCGAAAGCCUGAUCCAGCCAUGCCGCGUGUGUGAAGAAGGCCUUCGGGUUGUAAAGCACUUUCAGUGGGGAAGAAAGCCUUGGGGCUAAUACCCUCGAGGAAGGACAUCACCCACAGAAGAAGCACCGGCUAACUCCGUGCCAGCAGCCGCGGUAAUACGGAGGGUGCGAGCGUUAAUCGGAAUUACUGGGCGUAAAGCGCGCGUAGGCGGUCUGAUAAGCCGGUUGUGAAAGCCCCGGGCUCAACCUGGGAACGGCAUCCGGAACUGUCAGGCUAGAGUGCAGGAGAGGAAGGUAGAAUUCCCGGUGUAGCGGUGAAAUGCGUAGAGAUCGGGAGGAAUACCAGUGGCGAAGGCGGCCUUCUGGACUGACACUGACGCUGAGGUGCGAAAGCGUGGGUAGCAGACAGGAUUAGAUACCCCGGUAGUC
rnacentral:rRNA from 1 species